UACGUAGGGUGCGAGCGUUGUUCGGAAUUACUGGGCGUAAAGGGCGUGUAGGCGGCCAACUAAGUCCGACGUGAAAUCCCCGGGCUCAACCUGGGAACUGCAUUUGUGACUGCACGGCUAGAGUGUGUCAGAGGGGGGUAGAAUUCCACGUGUAGCAGUGAAAUGCGUAGAGAUGUGGAGGAAUACCGAUGGCGAAGGCAGCCCCCUGGGAUAGCACUGACGCUCAUGCACGAAAGCGUGGGGAGCAAACAGG
rnacentral:rRNA from 1 species